rnacentral:rRNA from 1 species
UACGUAGGGGGCAAGCGUUAUCCGGAAUCACUGGGCGUAAAGGGUGCGUAGGCGGCUCUUCAAGUCAGGGGUGAAAGGCUACGGCUCAACCGUAGUAAGCCUUUGAAACUGUAGAGCUUGAGUGCAGGAGAGGAGAGUGGAAUUCCUAGUGUAGCGGUGAAAUGCGUAGAUAUUAGGAGGAACACCAGUGGCGAAGGCGACUCUCUGGACUGUAACUGACGCUGAGGCACGAAAGCGUGGGGAGCAAACAGG